rnacentral:rRNA from 1 species
GGAAGGGGUGUAUUUAUUAGAUAAAAAACCAAUGCCCUUCGGGGCUUUUUGGUGAUUCAUGAUAACUUUACGGAUCGCAUAGCCUUGCGCUGGCGACGGUUCAUUCAAAUUUCUGCCCUAUCAACUUUCGAUGGUAAGGUAUUGGCUUACCAUGGUUUCAACGGGUAACGGGGAAUUAGGGUUCGAUUCCGGAGAGGGAGCCUGAGAAACGGCUACCACAUCCAAGGAAGGCAGCAGGCGCGCAAAUUACCCAAUCCCGACACGGGGAGGUAGUGACAAUAAAUACUGAUACAGGGCUCUUUUGGGUCUUGUAAUUGGAAUGAGUACAAUUUAAACCUCUUAACGAGGAACAAUUGGAGGGCAAGUCUGGUGCCAGCAGCCGCGGUAAUUCCAGCUCCAAUAGCGUAUAUUAAAGUUGUUGCAGUUAAAAAGCUCGUAGUUGAAACUUGGGCCUGGCUGGCGGGUCCGCCUCACCGCGUGCACUCGUCCGGCCGGGCCUUCCUUCUGAAGAACCUCAUGCCCUUCACUGGGCGUGCUGGGGAAUCAGGACUUUUACUUUGAAAAAAUUAGAGUGUUCAAAGCA